rnacentral:rRNA from 1 species
UACGAAGGGGGGCUAGCGUUGCUCGGAAUUACUGGGCGUAAAGCGCACGUAGGCGGAUUUUUUAAGUCAGGGGGUGAAAUCCCGGGGCUCAACCUCGGAACUGCCUUUGAUACUGCGAGUCUUGAGUCCGAUAGAGGUGGGUGGAAUUCCUAGUGUAGAGGUGAAAUUCGUAGAUAUUAGGAAGAACACCAGUGGCGAAGGCGGCCCACUGGAUCGGUACUGACGCUGAGGUGCGAAAGCGUGGGGAGCAAACAGG